rnacentral:rRNA from 1 species
UACGUAGGGGGCGAGCGUUGUCCGGAUUUAUUGGGCGUAAAGAGCGUGUAGGCGGCCAGGUAGGUCUGCUGUGAAAACUCGAGGCUCAACCUCGAGACGUCGGCGGAAACCAUCUGGCUAGAGUCCGGAAGAGGAGAGUGGAAUUCCUGGUGGAGCGGUGAAAUGCGCAGAGAUCAGGAGGAACACCCGUAGCGAAGGCGGCACUCUGGGCCGAUACUGACACUGAGGAGCGAAAGCGUGGGGAGCGAACAGG